CUGAAUAUACAACUUAAGUUUACAUAUUCUCCAUAUUUCCCUUAUUUUUUUAAAAAAUACUAAAAUCCCUAUUUUUUAAUAAGUCUAAUUUAACAGAUACAUUAUUAAAUUAGAAUCCUAAUAAAUCCUAACCAAUUAAAUCUUAUCCCUAAUUUUACUCUUUAUUUUCCCCAAAUAAAGAACCCAUUUACACCACUACCAAAAUUAAUGCGUCAAUUUCUCAACGGUUCAUCUUCUCAAUUUUGAAAAUCAAAAUUUGUGCUCUCCAUCCGUCAGCCUUCAUCUAAUCUGUCCGCCAUUUUUGUCUACUUUGUCAGCCUUUGAAAAUCAAAAUUGUGCUCUCCGUCCGUCCGUCUUCGUCUAAUCUGUCUGUCAUUUUUGUCUACUCUGUCCGCCUUAAAAAAUCAAAUCGCCAAUUUCGUCUACUCUGUCCGCCAUUUUCGUCCAAUAUUCUUGAAAGAUUGGGCAGCAUUGGAUGCAUAUAAAGACAAGAAAACUGGAGAACUUUUGGGUCCACAACAUUCGUUUAAUGUGGAGUUUGCUCAAGACAACAUGCAACAAAAAUGUGAUAGCCUGUGAGUAUUGUUUAUUAUUUUAUUUUAUUUUUUGUAUCUAUUCAUCCUUAUAAUUAUUCUUAUUGUUUUUGUAGUGAUUGCGGACUAUUCGUAGUUGUAUAUGCAGAAUUCUGAGUGACAAAAUCAACAUAUCAUGUAAUAGUUUUAAGAGUAGCUAUCUUCGCAAAAGAUAUGCGAUUCUUUUAUUGAAGUAUGGUCUCGACAAGAUGAAUGCUGGAUAUGUUAGCAACAGUGAUGACCCUUCAAGAAUGAAGAAUGUAUUAAACCCAUCAUCUGAAGAUGAAAUUGUUAAUGUAGGCUAGUUAGUUUUCAAUGUUUGAUUUUUUUUUUUGUUUUUUGGAGUUAAACAAGAUGUUUGAAGUAUUUAUUAACAUAACAACACAUAUUGUUAAAUUAUGAAAGUGUUUUGAUUUUUAAAA